UACGUAGGGAGCAAGCGUUGUCCGGAAUCAUUGGGCGUACAGCGCGCGUAGGCGGCCUCAUAAGUCCGUUGUGAAAGUCAAAGGCUCAACCUUUGAAAGCCGAUGGAUACUGUCGGGCUCGAAUCCGGAAGAGGUGAGUGGAAUUCCUGGUGUAGCGGUGAAAUGCGCAGAUAUCAGGAGGAACACCAAUGGCGAAGGCAGCUCACUGGGACGGUAUUGACGCUGAGACGCGAAAGCGUGGGGAGCAAACAGG
rnacentral:rRNA from 1 species